UACGUAGGGGGCGAGCGUUGUCCGGAUUUAUUGGGCGUAAAGAGCGUGUAGGCGGUUCGGUAAGUCUGUCGUGAAAUCCUGAGGCUCAACCUCGGGCGUGCGAUGGAUACUGCCGGGCUAGAGGGUGGUAGAGGCGAGUGGAAUUCCAGGUGUAGCGGUGAAAUGCGUAGAUAUCUGGAGGAAUACCGGUGGCGAAGGCGGCAUCCUGGACCGACAUUGACGCUGAUGAGCGAAAGCUAGGGGAGCAAACGGG
rnacentral:rRNA from 1 species